CAUAAAUCAUUGAUCCACUAAUUUAGUUUCCAGUGCAAUUAGGUUUUACUUUAUACUUUUGAUUUAUGUUUUACCCAAAAUCUACUGAGUUGUUGCUUACAAUUCUACAAAUGUCUAGUGAUUCACACUUGCAAUUAGGUUAAAUAAUAUUUUUCCUAAUUUGCAGCUUUUCCGCCGGUUCUUUUUUUUGUUUUGUUAAUUUUCUUUUUUUGAUAAUAGGAUCCAAAGCUUUUUGACCAGAAAAUUGUAUGAUUUUUUUUGGGGAUGCUAUAGUUAUUUGGAGAAGUACAAAGCCAAAGUAUAUAUAUUCUUUAAUAUGCAGUCUUAAUUGGGACUAUCGACGAAGAUCUAAUCAAACGAGGCCCACACAACAAAGAGGUGAGGUGAACAUAAAUCAUAGAUCCACUAAUUUAGUUUCCAGUGCAAUUAGGUUUUACUUUAGUCUUUUGAUUUAUGUUUUACCCAAAAUCUAUUGAUUUGUAGCUUCCAAUUCUACAAAUGUCUAGUGCUUCCCACUUGCAAUUGAGUUAAAUUAUCUUUUUCCUAAUUUGCAGCUUUUUCACCGAUUUUUUUUUUUAAUUUUCUUCUUUUGAUAUAAGAUUCAAAGCUUUUGGACCAGAAAAUUGUAUGAUUUUGUUUGGGGAUGCAAUAGUAAUUUGGAGAAGAACAAAGCCAAAGUAGAUAUAUUGUUUGAUAUACUGUCUUAAUUGGGAGUAUCGGCGAAGAUGUAAUCAAACAGAGACACACACAACAAAGAGGAGAGGUUAACAUAAAUCAUAGAUCCACUAAGUUAGUUUCCAGUGCAAUUAGGUUUUACUUUAUUCUUUUUUAUUUAUGUUUUACCCAAAAUCUACUGACUUGUUGCUUCCAAUUCUACAUAUGUCUAGUGCUUCACACUAGCAGUUAAGUUAAAUUAUGUUUUUCCUAUUUGGGAGUAUUGACGAAGAUGUAAUCAAAACGAGACUCGCACAACAAAGAGGUGAGGUGAACGUAAAUCAUAGAUCCACUAAUUUUGUUUCAGUGCAAUUACGUUUAACUUUAUUCUUUUGAUUUAUGUUUUACCCUAAAUCUACUAAGUUGUUGCUUCCAAUUCUACAAAUGUCUAGUGCUUUACACUUGCAAUUAAGUUAAAUUAUGUUUUUCCUAAUUUGCAGCUUUUCCACCGAUUCUUUUUUUUUGUUAAUUUUCUUCUUUUGAUAUAAGAUCCAAAGCUUUUGGACUAGAAAAUUGUAUGAUUUUGUUAGGGGAUGUUAUAGUUAUUUGGAGAAGCACAAAGCCAAAGUAUAUAUAUUCUUUGAUAUGCAGUCUUAAUUGGGAGUAUCGACGAAGAUUUAAUCAAACGGAGACCUGCACAACAAAGAGUUAUUUGGAGAAGCACAAAGCCAAAGUAGAUAUAUUCUUUGAUAUGCAGUCUUAAUUGGGAGUAUCGACAAAGAUGUAAUCAAACGGAGACCCGCACAACAAAGAGGUGAGGUGAACAUAAAUCAUAGAUCCACUAACUUAGUUUCCAGUGCAAUUCGAUUUUACUUUAUUCUUUUGAUUUAUGUUUUACCUAAAAUCUAUUGAGUUGCUGCUUCCAAUUCUACAAAUGUCUUGUUCUUUACACUUGCAAUUAAGUUAAAUUAUGUUUUUCCUAAUUUGCAGCUUUUCCACCGAUUCUUUUUUUUUUUGGUUAAUUUUCUUCUUUAGAUAUAAGAUCCAAAGCUUUUGGACCAGAAAAUUGUACGAUUUUGUUUGGGAGUGCUAUAGUUAUUUGGAGAAGCACAAAACUAAAGUAGAUAUAUUCUUUGAUAUGCAGUCUUAUUUGGGAGUUUCGACGAAGAUUUAAUCAAACGGAGACCCGCACAACAAAGAGGUACAAUCAUACAGUCAGUGGAUCAUAUCCUCUGUUUGGGUUUUUCACGUUCACUACGCGGUGGCACCUUCAAGGUCAUUUAUCUCUAUGUAUCUCUUUGUCUUUACUCAAGUAAGUCAUCUUAUUCAAUGAUGGUUUGGUCUAUUUUUUCUUAAUUCUUGAUAGGAAAUUUUUCACUAUUAGGGAAGUCUAGUAGCUCAUAGAACUAUCAUUUUCUUUUUAAAUAAGACUCUUUUUGGGACAA